rnacentral:misc_RNA from 1 species
AGCAGCCGCGGUAAUUCCAGCUCCAAUAGCGUAUAUUAAAGUUGUUGCAGUUAAAAAGCUCGUAGUUGAACUUCGGGGUUUACUCAUUGGUCAGGCUUAAUUGUCUGUACUGGUGAGAUAAAUCUCUACCUUCUGAGGAACUUUCAUGCCAUUUAUUUGGUGUGAUUGGAAAUCAGGACUGUUACUUUGAAAAAUUAGAGUGUUUAAAGC